UCUUCCGCAGUUUUCUCUGGUUUUCCUAUAUAGAUAGCUUCUUCCUACUGAUUUUCACACUCUCACCAAAAAAAUUAAAUUCAACUUGGAUUUGUUAACCUCAAGUUGCAUAAUCGAGGUUUGCAGUGAUUAUUUACUUUCAGUCGUUGAUUUCUCUGAAGAACAAAGUUCUAAUACUCAGAUAGUUACAGAAUCUUUUGGGCGUUUUCUUCUCGAAAAAUAUUCAGCUACUUAUAUAUCGUUAUCCAUUUCAUUACCAAAGAUGCCAAAUUUUAAAAAACUUGUGGAUUCAACAUGCUGGAAACAAAAAGGGAAACUUCAAUGCUCUGAAGAAGAGGCAUCCAAAUUAAACAAAGAGGUCGCGAAAUGUAUAAGGCGAGGUCGGCUGAUAAAGAGAACUAAAUUUACUGGAGCGCGAAUGACAUACCUUCAUUCUAGAAUGCAGAAUCCAACUACUGAUUCCACUGAAGUAUCAGCUUGCUACCAAUUUAAUAGAGAGUUAGCGAGGCAGAGAGCUGCUCUAAUAUGAGCCUCAUCUUCUACCUUGAGAACAUGUUUGUGCGUUAAGAUUUUGUUACCCUUAAAUAAACUGUGUGAUACAGAUAUUUUUUAUGCUUAUAACUUGCUCUUAUGUUUUAGUAAAUGUGUUCACAGUUAAUGAUUUCACUGUUUCUGAUAAUGGAAAAGAUCUACAUGGUCGCUCUUCCGUUUUUGAAGUUGGGUCUACAUCAGGAACGUGUAGUGAACAAUAUAAUAUUACCAUGCGUAACGCUACAAGAAAAGGUUCGUUUCCAUUUAGCUUUAAUGUCAUUUCAGUCAUUUCUUUUUCAGGACUGGCCUUUUUUCAUUCUGGCAAAUCUAAAAUAUAUAGGCCUUACAUCUAAAAAAAUGUGUCUCUAGAAUACUAAUGACUUGCCCAGUAGCCCUUUUAGACUCAAAAUUAUAUCAAAUUGUAUAUUUUGUAGAGCCAAAAAAUUUCAGUAUGAAUCACCGGAAUUUUGCUAUGACAGUGGAUUCGUGAAAUUGAUUCACUAUGGACUGCCUUGUGAAUUGCUAAAUCUUUAUUUAGGAAACUCUGAGGAGUCCAAAUAUUUUCGCACUUAUGUUAGAUUAUAUAACAAUAUGUUUGCAUUUACUUCUCUUGGAGUGAAUUAUGACAGAGAUUUAGCGAGAAGAAAUUGUGGUAUUUAUACGUUUAGAGUUCAAGGAAAAAUGUAUCAUUUCAUAAUAAUCUCCUACCUUCGAGCCAACCAGCAAAAAUCUGCAGUUAUAUUUCUAUGAUACUGAUAAUGAACUAGCAAAUCGGAUGGCAUUCUCUGACAAGCUUAAUGAAUCGGUUAUCAAGACUUUGAUGGACACAUUAAAAGUUAAUACACACUCUAUCUUUUUGAAAUCUUUAACAGAUAUCCCAGAAUUAUUAAACUUUUACGUUGCACCUAAGUCUGACUCUGGUUUAGAUCAAAGAAAAUAUAACUUACCUACAUCAUCUGAAGUAGCAGCAAUAUGGAUAGAAGAUGAAAGUAUUUCUCUACCACAUAUUCAAAUUUACACAUAUAGUAGCAAGAACCAAUUGGUAAAUUAGUACUAUAGCUAUUAUGAUCCAUUACAAUAUCCAUUACUAUUUCCUUAUGGACAGAACGGAUGACAUUAUGGUAUUAAAAAGAUUAUUCUGACGAAUAAUACUAUUAGCAGUGGAACUUAUUGUGAAAAUGAACAACUACCGAGUGUAGAAAACAUGUGUUCAGUCGACAUGCUACUUGACAUGGAAGCAGAACUUUUGGAAAAAAAGAAAUGAAAAAGAAAUACUGUGUCAUGCCAUGAGUAUUACUAUUACAAGCUCCAAAUGAGGGUCAAUGAAGUAAAUGGAGUUUUGCAUGCUGGAAGAGUGUUCCAACAAUACCCAGUUGACGAAUUCAUCAAGCUUAAGACUCAAAGGUUAGAUUUCUGUUCAUUUAAUCAAGAUUUAUUUAGAAUUGAUGCGUUAGCAGGGAUUCUUGAUGUUCUAAGACACGGAGAGAGAGAGAGAGACAUGCAACAUUGGAAGACAAAGUUUUCUUCCUGCAAGUUUUAUAGGAGGUCCUAGGGAUAUGCGCCGACGAUAUAUGGACGCUAUUGCGUUAGUGCAAAAUUUUGGGAAACCUGAUAUAUUUUUGACAAUGACAUGUAAUCCAUCUUGGCCAGAAAUAGAAGAACAUUUAUUGGUAACAGAUAAGGU